UACGUAGGGUGCAAGCGUUGUCCGGAAUUAUUGGGCGUAAAGAGCUCGUAGGCGGUUUGUCGCGUCUGCUGUGAAAACUCGGGGCUUAACUCCGGGCCUGCAGUGGGUACGGGCAGACUAGAGUGCGGUAGGGGAGACUGGAAUUCCUGGUGUAGCGGUGAAAUGCGCAGAUAUCAGGAGGAACACCGGUGGCGAAGGCGGCAUCCUGGACCGAGAUUGACGCUGAGGCGCGAAAGCCAGGGGAGCAAACGGG
rnacentral:rRNA from 1 species